rnacentral:rRNA from 1 species
AUUGAACGCUGGCGGCAGGCUUAACACAUGCAAGUCGAGCGGAGAGAGGUAGCUUGCUACUGAUCUUAGCGGCGGACGGGUGAGUAAUGCUUAGGAAUCUGCCUAUUAGUGGGGGACAACAUUUCGAAAGGAAUGCUAAUACCGCAUACGUCCUACGGGAGAAAGCAGGGGAUCUUCGGACCUUGCGCUAAUAGAGGAGCCUAAGUCGGAUUAGCUAGUUGGUGGGGUAAAGGCCUACCAAGGCGACGAUCUGUAGCGGGUCUGAGAGGAUGAUCCGCCACACUGGGACUGAGACACGGCCCAGACUCCUACGGGAGGCAGCAGUGGGGAAUAUUGGACAAUGGGCGCAAGCCUGAUCCAGCCAUGCCGCGUGUGUGAAGAAGGCCUUAUGGUUGUAAAGCACUUUAAGCGAGGAGGAGGCUACUUUAGUUAAUACCUAGAGAUAGUGGACGUUACUCGCAGAAUAAGCCCCGGCUAACUUCGUGCCAGCCGCCGCCGUAACAC